rnacentral:rRNA from 2 species
ACGGGGUGCAGCAGGCGCGAAAACUUUGCAAUGUGCGAAAGCACGACAAGGUUAAUCCGAGUGAUUUCUGCUAAAGAAAUCUUUUGCUAGUCCUAGAAACACUAGUGAAUAAGGGGUGGGCAAGUUCUGGUGUCAGCCGCCGCGGUAAAACCAGCACCUCAAGUGGUCAGGAUGAUUAUUGGGCCUAAAGCAUCCGUAGCUCGUUUUGUAAGUUUUCGGUUAAAUCCGUACGCUUAACGUAUGGGCUGCCGGGAAUACUGCAUAACUAGGAAGUGGGAGAGGUAGACGGUACUCGGUAGGAAGGGGUAAAAUCCUUUGAUCUAUUGAUGACCACCUGUGGCGAAGGCGGUCUACCAGAACACGUUCGACGGUGAGGGAUGAAAGCUGGGGGAGCAAACCGGAUUAGAUACCCGGGUAGUCCCAGCUGUAAACUAUGCAAACUCAGUGAUGCAUUGGCUUGUGGCCAAUGCAGUGCUGCAGGGAAGCCGUUAAGUUUGCCGCCUGGGAAGUACGUACGCAAGUAUGAAACUUAAAGGAAUUGGCGGGGGAGCAC